CUACGGGAGGCAGCAGUGGGGAAUAUUGGACAAUGGGCGCAAGCCUGAUCCAGCCAUGCCGCGUGAGUGAUGAAGGCCCUAGGGUUGUAAAGCUCUUUCACCGGUGAAGAUAAUGACGGUAACCGGAGAAGAAGCCCCGGCUAACUUCGUGCCAGCAGCCGCGGUAAUACGAAGG
rnacentral:rRNA from 1 species